rnacentral:rRNA from 1 species
AGAUUGAACGCUGGCGGCAUGCCUUACACAUGCAAGUCGAACGGUAGAGUAGCAAUACUUGAGAGUGGCGAACGGGUGAGUAAUAUAUCGGAACGUGCCCAGUAGCGGGGGAUAACUACGCGAAAGCGUGGCUAAUACCGCAUACGCCCUACGGGGGAAAGGGGGGAUCGCAAGACCUCUCACUAUUGGAGCGGCCGAUAUCAGAUUAGCUAGUUGGUGAGGUAAAGGCUCACCAAGGCGACGAUCUGUAGCUGGUUUGAGAGGACGACCAGCCACACUGGGACU